GGAAAUGUUUGAAUGCUAAAUACUUUCUCAUUUCUUUUCUUUUCUUUCCUUUUUGGGCUAUCUAUGACCGAAUGGAAUUUGUACAACUGUGACUUUCCUAAUGG